AAGAAAAGAAAACUUUUUGAAAGGCGUUUCUACUUUCUGUUUUCUGCAACAUUUGAAAAACAAAAAGCUUGAACAAGACAAAGCAAAUUUGGUGCCAACUGGUGACCAACGAACCUCCUUUGAGAAGAGACAGAACAGAACUCUCUCUCUCUCUCUCAAGCAAGAACAUUCAACUGAAGAUCCAACUUGGAAGCUGUUUGCAGUUGUUGGGUCCUUCUCAUUUCUGAGUAACAAAGAGAUGAUGAAACUGAAUCCCAACUGGGAACUCAAAAACUGCUGCAAUCAUGAACAAGUAGUCUUUCUUGUCACUGUCGCUGUCUGCACUGUCGUUAUACUUGCGCUUUGGAGGACAAUACUUCUGAGACCCUUCAAGCUAGUGACUGUAUUUCUUCAUGAGGCGAGCCAUGCUAUUGCUUGUAAACUCACAUGUGGUCAUGUGGAAGGGAUCCAGGUUCAUGCAGAUGAAGGUGGAACCACACAAACACGUGGCGGCAUAUACUGGUUAAUCUUGCCAGCCGGAUAUCUUGGGUCAUCUUUUUGGGGAAUGGUUUUGAUACUAGCAUCAACAAAUCUUCUGACUGCAAGAAUUGCUGCAGGAUGUUUUGUCGUUGCUCUACUUGUUGUACUCUGUGUAGCUAAAAACUGGACACUAAGGGGACUUUGUAUUGGAUUUGUUCUUUUCCUUGGUGUGGUUUGGGUUCUUCAAGAAACAACAAAGAUUCAUAUACUUCAGUACAUUAUUUUGUUCAUUGGUGUAAUGAACAGCUUGUUUUCAGUCUAUGAUAUAUAUGAUGACCUCAUAUCUCGUAGAGUUCACUCUAGUGAUGCUGAAAAAUUCGCAGAAGUGUGUCCUUGUCCUUGCAAUGGCGUUGGCUGGGGUGUUAUCUGGGGUUUAAUAUCAUUCUUAUUUCUUUGUGGAGCAAUGUACCUUGGUCUUGUAAUAUUGUCUUGAGAGUUGGGUUCGGGAGUACGGUUACGCACAGGGAAGGGUUAGCACCCUCAUGACGCUCGUUUGACGAACGGUACCAUUUAAUUGAAGCUAUGCUUACGGAGAACACCGGAAAAUUGGCCUGUUUGCAAUCUCAUGCACUUCCUGAAUAGCAUGCCAUCUCAGUUUUGGUCAGGAGAAGUUUCUCUAAUUCAAUUUUUCUUUUUUCUUUUUUUUUUUGCACAGAAAAUUCAUGCCCAAAAGUGAAGAGACAAGGCCAAAUUGAUUUAUUAUUAUUAUUAUUUUUUCAACAUUGAUAAUUUAGUAUCAAUCAAUAUACAUCAUUCAGACCUGAACA